rnacentral:rRNA from 1 species
AGUGAACGCUGGCGGUAGGCCUAACACAUGCAAGUCGAACGGCAGCACAGUAAGAGCUUGCUCUUACGGGUGGCGAGUGGCGGACGGGUGAGGAAUACAUCGGAAUCUACUUUUUCGUGGGGGAUAACGUAGGGAAACUUACGCUACUACCGCAUACGACCUACGGGUGAAAGCAGGGGAUCUUCGGACCUUGCGCGAUUGAAUGAGCCGAUGUCGGAUUAGCUAGUUGGCGGGGUAAAGGCCCACCAAGGCGACGAUCCGUAGCUGGUCUGAGAGGAUGAUCAGCCACACUGGAACUGAGACACGGUCCAGACUCCUACGGGAGGAAGCAGUGGGGAAUAUUGGACAAUGGGCGCAAGCCUGAUCCAGCCAUACCGCGUGGGUGAAGAAGGCCUUCGGGUUGUAAAGCCCUUUUGUUGGGAAAGAAAAGCAGCAGGUUAAUACCCCGCUGUUCUGACGGUACCCAAAGAAUAAGCACCGGCUAACUUCGUG